AUGAAGAAGACCAAGGUUGGCAGGGGUCAUUUCUCCUUUACAUGUUCUUUCACUGCAAAGAUUGGCACCCUGACAUCAGAGGUAGGAUUGGGGGUAGGGAUAGCAUUUGUAAAUGUAAUUUGUAAACUAGGAAAGAUGGGGGAAGGGGAGAGUUAUAGUGACAGGGUAGUUGGCAAAAGACUGCUCAAGUCAGGAUGCCUCCAACAGGUGAAUGCAGCCAGGGAAGUGCGCAUGGGAUGUGGCUAUGGAGGACCCUCUUUUACCCCUCCUGGGAAACCUGCAUGCUUGAUCACCUCCCUGAAAUGCCUGUACACCAAUGCACGCAGCAUGGGGAACAAACAGGAAGAACUAGAGAUAUAUGUGCAGUUGCAGGGCCAUGAUCUCAUUGCCAUUACAGAGACAUGGUGGGAUAGCUCGCAUGACUGGAGUGCUGUCGUGGAUGGCUACGUGCUUUUUAGGAAAGACAGGCCAGGAAAGCGAGAUGGUGGAGUUGCUCUUUAUGUGAGAGAGCAACUGGAAUGUAUUGAGCUGUGCCUAGGGGUGGAUGAAGAGCGAGUCAAGAGCUUAUGGGUAAGGAUUAAAGGGCAGGCUAACAUGGGUGACACUGUUGUGGGUGUUUACUACAGGCCACCUGAUCAGGAUGAGGAAGUCGAUGAGGCCUUCUACAGACAGCUGGAAGUAGCCUCACAAUCCCAGGCCCUGGUUCUCAUGGGGGACUUCAACCACCCUGAUAUCUGCYGGAAAGACAACACAGCUAGGCACAAACAGUCCCGGAGGUUCCUGCAGAGCAUUGGUGACAACUUCUUGACACAGGUGGUGGAGGAGCCAACAAGGAGAGGUGUGCUGCUGGACCUCGUACUAACAAACAAAGAAGGACUGGUGGAAGAUGUGAAGGUCGGGGGCUGCCUUGGCUGCAGUGACCAUGAGAUCGUGGAGUUCAGGAUCCUGCGAGGAGGCAGCAGGGCACUAAGUAGGAUCGCAACUCUGGACUUGAGGAGAGCAAACUUUGGCCUCUUCAGGGACCUACUUGGAGGAAUCCCAUGGGUUAGGGCUCUAGAAGGAAGGGACGUUCAAGAGAGCUGGUUAAUACUCAAACAUCACUUCCUCCAGGCUCAAGAGCGGUGCAUCCCUAUGAGUAGGAAGUCAAGCAAAGGAGGCAGGAGACCUGCAUGGAUGAGCAAGGAGCUCCUGGCAAAACUCAACCAGAAGAAGGAAGUAUACAGAAAGUGGAAAGGGGGACAGGCCCCUUGGGAGAAAUAUAGGAACGUUGUCAGAGUAUGCAGGGAUGUGACGAGGAAGGCUAAGGCCCGUUUGGAAUUAAAUCUGGCGAGAGAUGUCAAGGACAACAAGAAGGGCUUCUUCAAAUACAUCAGUAGCAAGAGGAAGACUAGGGAAAAUGUGGGCCCUUUGCUGAAUGGGGUGGGUGCCCUGGUGACGAAGGAUGCAGAGAAGGCAGAGUUACUGAAUGCCUUCUUUGCUUCAGUCUUUGCUGCUCAGGCCAGCCCUCAGGAACCCCAGACCCUGGAGGCAAGAGAGAAAGUCUGGAGGAAGGAAGACUUUCCCUUGGUGGAGGAGGAGUGGGUUAGAGAUCAUUUAAGCAAACUUGACACCCACAAAUCCAUGGGCCCUGAUGGGAUGCACCCACGAGUGCUGAGGGAGCUGGCGGAUGUUAUUGCUAAGCUGCUCUCCAUCAUCUUUGAAAGGUCAUGGAGAACAGGAGAGGUGCCUGAGGACUGGAAGAAAGCCAAUGUCACCCCAGUCUUCAAAAAGGGCAAGAAGGAGGACCCAGGGAACUACAGGCCAGUCAGCCUCAGCUGCAUCCCUGGAAAGGUGAUGGAGCAGCUCAUGCUGGAGGCCAUCUCCAAGCAUGYGGAGGACAAGAAAGUGAUCAGGAGUAGUCAGCAUGGCUUCACCAAGGGGAAAUCAUGCCUAACCAAUCUGAUAGCCUUCUAUGAUGGAAUGACUGGCUGGGUAGAUGAGGGGAGAGCAGUGGAUGUUGUCUACCUCGACUUCAGCAAGGCUUUUGACACUGUCUCCCAUAACAUCCACAUAGACAAGCUCAGGAAGUGUGGGCUAGAUGAGUGGACAGGGAGGUAG
rnacentral:lncRNA from 1 species